rnacentral:rRNA from 1 species
AUUGAACGCUGGCGGCAGGCCUAACACAUGCAAGUCGAGCGGGGUUUUCGGACCUAGCGGCGGACGGGUGAGUAAUGCGUAGGAAGCUACCCGACAGCGGGGGAUACCAGUUGGAAACGACUGUUAAUACCGCAUAAUGUCUACGGACCAAAGUGUGGGACCUUCGGGCCACAUGCUGUCGGAUGCGCCUACGUGGGAUUAGCUAGUUGGUGAGGUAAUGGCUCACCAAGGCGACGAUCCCUAGCUGGGUUUAGAGGAUGAUCAGCCACACUGGAACUGUGAGACGGUCCAGACUCCUACGGGAGGCAGCAGUGGGGAAUAUUGGACAAUGGGCGCAAGCCUGAUCCAGCCAUGCCGCGUGUGUGAAGAAGGCCUUCGGGUUGUAAAGCACUUUCAGCGAGGAGGAAGGGUUUGUCGUUAAUAGCGGCUAACCUUGACGUUACUCGCAGAAGAAGCACCGGCUAACUCUGUGCCAGCCGCCGCCGUAACAC